rnacentral:rRNA from 1 species
AUUGAACGCUGGCGGCAUGCCUUACACAUGCAAGUCGAACGGUAACGCGGGGCAACCUGGCGACGAGUGGCGAACGGGUGAGUAAUGCAUCGGAACGUGCCCAGUUGUGGGGGAUAACUGCUCGAAAGAGCAGCUAAUACCGCAUACGACCUGAGGGUGAAAGCGGGGGAUCGCAAGACCUCGCGCAAUUGGAGCGGCCGAUAGCAGAUGAGGUAGUUGGUGGGGUAAAGGCGCACCAAGACAACGAUCUGUAGCUGGGCUGAGAGGACGACCAGCCACACUGGGACUGAGACACGGCCCAGACUCCUACGGGAGGCAGCAGUGGGGAAUCUUGGACAAUGGACGCAAGUCUGAUCCAGCCAUGCCGCGUGCGGGAAGAAGGCCUUCGGGUUGUAAACCGCUUUUGUCAGGGAAGAAACGCUCUGGGUUAAUACCUCGGGGUAAUGACGGUACCUGAAGAAUAAGCACCGGCUAACUACGUGCCAGCAGCCGCGGUAAGAC